AUGAUGGUCUUAAUAUCUUACGCAAACAUACACAAGACAAAAAUACAGAUUAAGAGAAUGUAUUUCUGCAGUCUAUACAGUGCCAUGUGGAAGAGGGGAUGUCUGUGUCGAGAAAGUGUUUGUUGUCAGGUCAGCUUUCUAACUUUGGUCCUAGCCUGUGUCGCUCUCUGUAUCUGCCUCUCUCUCUCUCUCUCUGUUUCUCUCUUGCUGUCAUUUUUGAAUGUGGUCCGUUCUAUGUGCCGCCCCGUCACGCAAAGAUCUCCCACACUUGCACUUGCUCCCUUUAUCCGUGCUGAGGAGGACUGCUGAAUGAGAGGCCUCAGGACCCUGAGCGCCCGGUCCCUGUGACAUCGCUGUGACAUCACAGGCUUUGGUGUAAAGACUGACGGACCGAGGCCUUGCACUGCAACUAGAAACGCUACAUGAGACUCCAUAUGAGGGAUUCAAAAUCCACAUAGCACUUCUGCUUUUGAGACAAUUUCAUGAAAAAAAAAAAGAACAGAAAGGAGAUACUAUAAAGAUGUGGGAAUAUUUGUGCGUUGGAAUUGUUUUGUGACUGUAAAAAUAUAUGUCAUGAAGAUUUCAAGGCAAGUCGGCAUGGAUCGUAUAAGAGAGCGAGCAAUGUUUUUUAAAUGUUUGUUGGAACUUUUAUAUUUUACUUAUUCCUGUGUUAUUUUUAACUUUUCAAAAGAGCAGCAGAAAUUAUUCAUAUGUGAUAUGAAAUUAUAAUGUAGACCCUUGAAUUAUUAGAGCAACGAUGGUACCAGUUCUGCAGUUACAUGAGUCUAGACGAGUCAGAUGUUGCUGUUGUUGUUGUUGUUGUUUCCUGCUUGUAUCACGAUGCAUUCUGGUACAUGUAGUCCUGAAUUUUUUUCUCUCUCCAAGUGUUACUAUGAGAUUAUUUUUAUUUGUUAAUCAUGUGGAUAAACAUAUUUUGAGUUCAUAUAAAAUGUUCAAAUGCUCUUGCAAAGGACAACUACAAGAAAAAGGAAAAAUGAAAUAAAGCUUUUUGUUUAAUUUACAGUCUUUUUAACCAUCAGGAAAUGUGAGUUUUGUGUUUCCUGCUUGUAUCACGAUGCAUUCUGGUACAUGUAGUCCUGAAUUUUUUUUUUCUCUCUCCAAGUGUUACUAUGAGAUAUUUUUAUUUGUUAAUCAUGUGGAUAAACAUAUUUUGAGUUCAUAUAAAAUGUUCAAAUGCUCUUGCAAAGGACAACUACAAGAAAAAAAGGAAAAAAUGAAAUAAAGCUUUUUUGUUUAAUUUACAGUCUUUUUUAACCAUCAGGAAAUGUGAGUUUGUAGGCUUUAACUCUGAGUGGAAUGACAUUCUUUAUUUAUUUAUUAUUUAUUUAAUUUUUUUUAAUGCUAGGGUGCAUUAAAAUGAUCAAAAGUGACAGUAAAGAAAAAUUUCCAUUGCAAAAUAAAGGCUGUUCUGCUGAACUUUUUAUUCAGCGAAGAAUCUUUAAAAAAUAAAAUCAACAUAACCAAUCAUCAUAACUCUCAACAUUGAUAAAGAUUAGAAAUGUUUCUUAAGCAGGAAACCAGCAUAUUAGAAUUAUUUCUGAAGUUACACUGAAGACUGGAGUAAUUUAGACUCUUACAGAUUGGAGUAAAAAGACUGAAAAUUUAGCUUUGCAUCACAUGAAUUAUUAUUAUUUUUUUAUUAUUAUUACUAAUAUAUACUAUUUUAAUAUUAAAAAAUUAGU
rnacentral:lncRNA from 1 species